rnacentral:rRNA from 1 species
CACGUAGGGCGCAAGCGUUGUCCGGAAUUAUUGGGCGUAAAGAGCUCGUAGGUGGUUUGUUACGUCUGCUGUGAAAAACCUAGGGCUUAACCCCUGGGGCUUGCAGUGGAUACGGGGCAGACUAGAGGUAUGCAGGGGGAGAACGGAAUUCCUGGUGUAGCGGGUGAAAUGACGCAGAUAUCAGGGAGGGAAACACCCGGGUGGGCGAAAGGGCGGGUUUCUCUGGGGGCAUGUCCCUGACGCUGAGGGAGCGAAAAGUGUGGGGGAGGCGAAACAGG